rnacentral:rRNA from 1 species
UUGGCCUUGACAUACUAAGAACUUUCCAGAGAUGGAUUGGUGCCUUCGGGAACUUAGAUACAGGUGCUGCAUGGCUGUCGUCAGCUCGUGUCGUGAGAUGUUGGGUUAAGUCCCGCAACGAGCGCAACCCUUUUCCUUAUUUGCCAGCGGGUAAUGCCGGGAACUUUAAGGAUACUGCCAGUGACAAACUGGAGGAAGGCGGGGACGACGUCAAGUCAUCAUGGCCCUUACGGCCAGGGCUACACACGUGCUACAAUGGUCGGUACAAAGGGUUGCUACCUCGCGAGAGGAUGCUAAUCUCAAAAAGCCGAUCGUAGUCCGGAUCGCAGUCUGCAACUCGACUGCGUGAAGUCGGAAUCGCUAGUAAUCGCGGAUCAGAAUGCCGCGGUGAAUACGUUCCCGGGCUUUGUACACACCGCCCGUCACACCAUGGGAGUUUGUUGCACCAGAAGUAGGUAGUCUAACCGCAAGGAGGACGCUUACCACGGUGUGGCCGAUGACUGGGGUGAAGUCGUAACAAGGUAAGCGUAGAUGA